GGUGAGAGGAGGCCGGGCAGAGGGGCCGGAAGGGACGGCGGCGGAGGUCCAAAGGGGAGCGCAGCAGUGACGGGCUGAGAGUCACUCCGGAGGCGGCAGCGGGGGAGGAGACGAGGGGACUAGGGGCCAGGGCCGGGAUUUCGUGCGAGUCUGGAGCGCGCUGAUCAGAGCCGCCGGCCACGACAGGCGAAGGCAGAUGCAGGGGCUGGCCGUGAUGACUUCGGACCUGAGCCCCCUUCCGGUCUGCGGAGAUGGGCCACAGGCUCGGCCGAGUAAGGAGUCAGUGGCUUUUCACCUUCAGAGCUGCAGAAAGGGAGGGAUGGAGGAUGAACACGAGCCGCCGUUACAGCCUCGGACUCAGUUCCAGGGCAGGGUCCUGCUGCUGACCAUCUGUGUGGCUGGCAUUGGUGGGACUUUUCAAUUUGGCUACAACCUCUCCAUCAUCAAUGCCCCGACUUCGUACAUUCAAGAAUUCACCAAUGAGACGUGGCGGAUGCGAACUGACCGGCCGCUGCCCGACCAUCUGGUCCUGCUUGUGUGGUCCCUCAUCGUGUCUCUGUACCCCGUGGGGGGCCUUCUGGGAGCACUGCUUGCUGGCCCCUUGGCCAUCACACUGGGGAGGAAGAAGUCCCUGCUGGUGAAUAACAUCUUCGUGGUGGCUGCAGCGACCCUGUUUGGCUUCAGCCGCAGAGCAGGCUCCUUUGAGAUGAUCAUGCUGGGACGGCUGCUCGUGGGCGUCAGCGCAGGUGUGAGCAUGAACGUCCAGCCCAUGUACCUGGGGGAGAGCGCACCCAAGGAGCUCCGAGGGGCUGUGGCCAUGACCUCAGCCAUCUUCGCCGCCCUGGGGGUCGUGAUGGGUCAGGUGGUUGGACUCAGGGAGCUCCUGGGUGGCCCGCAGGCCUGGCCCCUGCUGCUGGCCAGCUGCCUGGUGCCUGGGGUGCUCCAGCUGGCCUCCCUGCCCCUGCUCCCCGAGAGCCCACGCUACCUCCUCAUUGACUGUGGAGACUCCGAGGCCUGUCUGGCAGCGCUGCAGCGGCUGCGGGGCCCCGCGGACCUGGCCGAGGAGCUGGCCGAGUUGGAGCGGGAGCGCGCCGCCUGCGAGGGCCGGCGCGCGCGGCGCCCGUGGGAGCUGUUCCGGGACUGCGCGCUGCGGAGGCAGGUGACGAGCCUGGUGGUGCUGGGCGGGGCCAUGGAGCUGUGCGGGAACGACACGGUGUACGCGUACGCGUCGGCAGUGUUCAGCCAGGCGCGGAUUCCUCCGGAGAAGGUCCAGUACGCCGCCAUCGGGACCGGGGGCUGCGAGCUGCUGGCGACGCUGCUCAGCUGUGUGGUGAUCGAGAGGGUGGGCCGACGGAUGCUGCUGAUGGUGGGGUACGGCCUGAUGACCUGCUGGGGGAGCGUCUUCACAGCGGCCCUGUGCCUGCAGAGCUCCCUCCCCUGGAUGCCCUACCUGGCCAUGUCCUGCGUCUUUGCCUUCAUCCUCAGCUUUGGCAUUGGCCCUGAGGGAAGAGCUUCAUGGACAUCUCAGAGGAAUUGCACAGACUCAACUUCCCCGGGGUGGAGCCAGGGCCCCGCAUGGACAGGCCGGAGGUCAUCCGGUCCACAGAACUCUAGCUCAGCAGUUUUGACAGGUGUACAUAUCCAUGAACCACCACCACCAUCAAGGUAGACCGGUCACAUCAUCUCCAAAGUUCCAUUGUGCCCCUUUGCAAUCAAUACUCUGCCCGACCCCAGGCCCUAGGCAACCGCGGACCUGCCUUCUGUCACUACAGGCAUGUGCGAUCUUAGUUCCUGGACCAGAGAUGGAACCCGCACCCCCUGCAUUGUAAGGCGAAGUCUCAACCACUGGACCACCAGGGAAGUCCCCAGAUGUUUUUAAUUUUAAAGAAGUUCAGCUUAUGAAUUCUUUCAUGGAUUGUGUUGUAUCUAAAAACUGAUCACCACAUCCACAGUCAUCUAGUGUCCACCAUUUUUUUUUUAAGCUGCACUGCGUGGCUUGCAGGAUCUCAGUUUCCCGACCAGGGAUUGAACCCGGGCCCAGUGAAAGCGCCGAGUCCCAAUCACUGGACCACCAGGGAAUUCCCUUAUUCAUUUACUUUUAAUGGAUGUCCAGUGGUGCUGGCACUGUUUGUUGAAAAGACCAUCUUUUCCCCAUUGCACUACCUUGGCACUUAGGUCAAAAAAACAAUUGAUCAUUGUUGUAUCAUAAAGAAUUUGUCUGGCUUUCAGUAGGAAGCAGUAACCGCCAAAUCAGCAGAAGCGGCAAGCAGUAGGUUCUCUGGGGAGCGAGAACUCUCUGAGUCGGGGUCAGGCGAGGUCUCAUGGAGAAGUCACCUGGAGCUGGCUUCCUGAGGACAGGCCCAGCUGGGGUUCCUUUGGAGGCAGGAGUGUUGAAGGAUGGGACUGAAGGCCUGUGGGUCCGGUAAACGCGGAGCUUUCUGGAAGGCAGGUGUCAGCACUCUGGGAGCCCUCUGUGUGUUCUCCCAGCUUCUCUCUGGCAACUGCCCCAUCUCCACCUCUGCUGACCUGCCUCCCCAGCUGGAGGGGAGGGGGAGAAGAUUUUGGGGGCCAAGGGCUCCCGGUGUGUGUGCGCUGUUGUUCAGCAGGUGAUUAUAGAGCCCCUGGGGAUGCCGGGGUGUUAAUGUUCUAUUGCUCCUAGAACAAAUUACCACAAAUCGAGCAGCUUAAAACAACACGUUUAUUAUCUCAGUUUCUGUGGGUCACAAUCUAGUACAAAGUGACUGGUCGUCUUCUUCAGGUCUCACGGCCGAAGUCAAGGCGUCUCCAGGUCAAAUAGGGAGGAACCCACUUCUGAGCUCAUUCAAGCUGCUGGCAGAAUUCAGUUCCUUGCAGCUGAACGACUGAGGCCCCUUCAUCUUCAAAGCCAGUAACGGCACAUCUGAGUCCUUCUGCUUCGAGGCUCUCUGACCGCCCCUCCUGCUGCAUCUCUUACUUGAGCUGGAGAAAAUUCUCUGCUUUUAAGGGCUCAAGUGAUUACGUUGGCCCCACCCAGAUAAUCCAUGACAACCUCCCUACUGUAAAGUCUGUAGCCCUAAUUACAUCUACAAAGUGCCUUUUGCCAAGUAAGGUAACAUAUUCACAGGUUCCAGGGAAUCGGGUGUGGUCGUCUUUGGAGGCCCUCCGCCUGCUACCUAGUAAUGGGUCAGAAGGUAGGCCACAGCAAUGUCCCCCACCUCAUGCAGCCCAGAAAGGAAGCAGUAACUCGCAAACAGAUAUGGUGACGGCCUUGAAGUAGAGGACCUGAUGGAGCCAGGAGCUCUGGGGCUUUCCUGACGAACUGAGCGACAGCGUUCCAGGACCAACGCCCAAGCCAGGAGCCAGAAGCCAGGAGCACGGGCCCCGAACAGUGGCUCACCUACACGGUGUCGCAGGUUAUUUGCUGGCAAGGCUUCAAUGUGUCACCCACUUCCACUAUCAGAGAACCGCCAACCAGGUGCUGGCUCCUGAAUCUUCUGGCUGGAGUCACUUGUGUCAGUUCUGUUCACAUUUCACUGGGCCAGGCAAGUCACAUGGCCAGAUCUGCUGCCAGUGGGUGGGGAGACAGACCCCUCCCCCAGGCAGGCCAGGCCAGGCCAAAGGUGGUGCCAGCUAACUUAGGCUAAGGCAGUGUGGGGGCCGGAGAAGUGAGGGUAAAGGGACAGUGGAUGGAGGUACAUUUCACUGGCAGGCGAUCAGGGGUGGGAGAAUAGUCAUGCACCUGGAUUUGGACACAGGUAGCAGGACAUGCGGAGUUGGCUGCUGGGGCUCGGAGGAGCACCCCGGGCUGGAGACAAUGCAUGGGGUGCAUCAGUGGUAACAGAGCCCUGGGCACAGGAAGUCUGCUGGGGUGUGGGAGUGGGGAGGGAUAUGACCUGGGGCCCACCUGGAGGGAUCCACAUUUAACAGAGUAUUUGCACAGCUGGGCCAUGUGACCUCCUGCCUGAGGCCGCCUGCUCCCACAGGCAUGGUGGCCUUGCUCUAUCACAUGCCCAGUGUCCAGGCCAGUGUGUGCUGUGCCACCUUAACCAGACCACACCUGCCAGAGACCAAGGACAGGACCUCCCUGGAGAGCUCUGAGACUUGGCCAAACCAGCAUGAGCCAAACCCCCUCGAGUGCCUGCAGAGCUCUGCUCCCCAGCACAGCCCCCCCACCAGGGUCUCCUCAGAGCGGGAGUCGGGUGGCCCUCCUGCCCAGGAAUGGCAGGGCCUGCAGGCUCAUCCCUGGCCCUGUCCUCGUCCUGCCGUGUCAUGGCUAACUUCAUUCAUUCAUUCAGCCAGUAGUUAGUCCAUGUCUCUUGUAUGUUUGGCACCUACUAGGUGCCCCCUGAGCUGACCAACAGUGGAAGAGAGAGACUGCACCCAGGGCUCUGUGAGAGGGCAUCCGCACAGGACCUGGCUAGGGUGGGGCUUCCCUGAGGAGCUCAAGUUUCCAGACCUGCAGAGGGGUUGUCCAGGGAACCGGAUGGGGCUUUGGCGUGGGCUCUGAGACGGAGUUGCUGACUGCCUUUGGAACCCCUCCUACUCCCUGCCCCUCCCCUGGGCACCUCCCAGCAUCCUUACCCACCGUGAAGAGCAGGGGUGCAGGGAAGGCCUCUGGAUGGUGACUCGCUUGUGGAAGCCCCCUCCCACCUGCAUCAAUGACCACCCCUCCCCAUCACACACACACGCGCGCGCGCGCGCACGCGGAGACUGCGGACACACAAGGGCUCAGUGGAAUGAGCUGGGACUCCAUCUUCUUGUCCGGCUGUGAUCUGCUGGAGGGCCAGGGGCCAUCUGUCCCGCUAAAAGCCGCAUCCCCGCUGCUCCCGGCACACAGACGUCGCUGUGACUAGAUGAAAGGACAAACGAGGGACAGGCAGAUUUCUGGCCGCCGCGUGGAGAACUUUGAGGAGGUGCUCAG